UGAACGCUGGCGGCAGGCCUAACACAUGCAAGUCGAACGGUAACAGGAAGAAGCUUGCUUCUUUGCUGACGAGUGGCGGACGGGUGAGUAAUGUCUGGGAAACUGCCUGAUGGAGGGGGAUAACUACUGGAAACGGUAGCUAAUACCGCAUAACGUCGCAAGACCAGAGAGGGGGACCUUCGGGCCUCUUGCCAUCGGAUGUGCCCAGAUGGGAUUAGCUAGUAGGUGGGGUAACGGCUCACCUAGGCGACGAUCCCUAGCUGGUCUGAGAGGAUGACCAGCCACACUGGAACUGAGACACGGUCCAGACUCCUACGGGAGGCAGCAGUGGGGAAUAUUGCACAAUGGGCGCAAGCCUGAUGCAGCCAUGCCGCGUGUAUGAAGAAGGCCUUCGGGUUGUAAAGUACUUUCAGCGGGGAGGAAGGGAGUAAAGUUAAUACCUUUGCUCAUUGACGUUACCCGCAGAAGAAGCACCGGCUAACUCCGUGCCAGCAGCCGCGGUAAUACGGAGGGUGCAAGCGUUAAUCGGAAUUACUGGGCGUAAAGCGCACGCAGGCGGUUUGUUAAGUCAGAUGUGAAAUCCCCGGGCUCAACCUGGGAACUGCAUCUGAUACUGGCAAGCUUGAGUCUCGUAGAGGGGGGUAGAAUUCCAGGUGUAGCGGUGAAAUGCGUAGAGAUCUGGAGGAAUACCGGUGGCGAAGGCGGCCCCCUGGACGAAGACUGACGCUCAGGUGCGAAAGCGUGGGGAGCAAACAGGAU
rnacentral:rRNA from 1 species